AGUAACGCGUGAGGAACCUGCCUCAAAGAGGGGGACAACAGUUGGAAACGACUGCUAAUACCGCAUAAGCCCACGGCUCGGCAUCGAGCAGAGGGAAAAGGAGCAAUCCGCUUUGAGAUGGCCUCGCGUCCGAUUAGCUAGUUGGUGAGGUAACGGCCCACCAAGGCGACGAUCAGUAGCCGACCUGAGAGGGUGAUCGGCCACAUUGGGACUGAGACACGGCCCAA
rnacentral:rRNA from 1 species